GAUGAACGCUGGCGGCGUGCCUAAUACAUGCAAGUCGAGCGAACAGACGAGGAGCUUGCUCCUCUGACGUUAGCGGCGGACGGGUGAGUAACACGUGGAUAACCUACCUAUAAGACUUGGAUAACUUCGGGAAACCGGAGCUAAUACCGGAUAAUAUAUUGAACCGCAUGGUUCAAUAGUGAAAGACGGUUUUGCUGUCACUUAUAGAUGGAUCCGCGUCGCAUUAGCUAGUUGGUAAGGUAACGGCUUACCAAGGCAACGAUGCGUAGCCGACCUGAGAGGGUGAUCGGCCACACUGGAACUGAGACACGGUCCAGACUCCUACGGGAGGCAGCAGUAGGGAAUCUUCCGCAAUGGGCGAAAGCCUGACGGAGCAACGCCGCGUGAGUGAUGAAGGUCUUCGGAUCGUAAAACUCUGUUAUUAGGGAAGAACAAAUGUGUAAGUAACUAUGCACGUCUUGACGGUACCUAAUCAGAAAGCCACGGCUAACUACGUG
rnacentral:rRNA from 1 species